rnacentral:rRNA from 1 species
GAUGAACGCUGGCGGCGUGCUUAACACAUGCAAGUCGAACGAAGCACUUUAUUUGAUUUCCUUCGGGACUGAUUAUUUUGUGACUGAGUGGCGGACGGGUGAGUAACGCGUGGGUAACCUGCCUUGUACAGGGGGAUAACAGUUGGAAACGGCUGCUAAUACCGCAUAAGCGCACAGCAUCGCAUGAUGCAGUGUGAAAAACUCCGGUGGUAUAAGAUGGACCCGCGUUGGAUUAGCUAGUUGGUGAGGUAACGGCCCACCAAGGCGACGAUCCAUAGCCGACCUGAGAGGGUGACCGGCCACAUUGGGACUGGGACACGGCCCAAACUCCUACGGGAGGCAGCAGUGGGGAAUAUUGCACAAUGGGCGAAAGCCUGAUGCAGCGACGCCGCGUGAGCGAAGAAGUAUUUCGGUAUGUAAAGCUCUAUCAGCAGGGAAGAUAAUGACGGUACCGGACUAAGAAGCACCGGCUAAAUACGU